AUUGAACGCUGGCGGCAUGCCUUACACAUGCAAGUCGAACGGCAGCACGGGGGCAACCCUGGUGGCGAGUGGCGAACGGGUGAGUAAUACAUCGGAACGUGCCUGGAGGUGGGGAUAACGUAGCCGAAGGUACGCUAAUAACGCAUAAUUUGUGAGCAGGGGAGAGGGGGAUCGGCAGACCCCUUGCUUUAAGAGCGGCCGAUGUCGGAUUAGCGAGUUGGUGAGGUAAAGGCUCACCAAGGCGACGAUCCGUAGCGGGUCUGAGAGGAUGAUCCGCCACACUGGGACUGAGACACGGCCCAGACGCCUACGGGAGGCAGCAGUGGGGAAUUUUGGACAAUGGGCGCAAGCCUGAUCCAGCCAUGCCGCGUGAGUGAAGAAGGCCUUCGGGUUGUAAAGCUCUUUCGGCGGGGAAGAAAUUGCUCAGGAUAAUACCUUGAGUAGAUGACGGUACCCGCAUAAGAAGCACCGGCUAACUACGUGCCAGCAGCCGCAGUAA
rnacentral:rRNA from 1 species